rnacentral:lncRNA from 7 species
CAGUGCUUCAACUUGCUAAUGGCCAAGGGGAGUCACAGGGAGAUUGAUUUUAUAUCCCAGGGCGAGGGUGAAGCAGGCAACCAGAUCGGCUCCGUGAUCUCCGGUGUUUGUUGCGAUCACACCGCAACGAGACUAAGCGGGGAAAACGCGAUCAGGCAGGAACUGGGCUGAAUUAGCACUCGACGGCGGCUGCUUGAUGGAGGCUCAGAGGAAGGUGGCUUGGGUUCCCAGGUGUACAGCAUCCGUGAUUUCAAUGAACGGAUCACGACGCGGAGAGGGGAUUUCGCCCGCCAGACGCGCGUUCUGUUGAGUUUGUUGCGAUGCUCGCGGAGAGGAUGAGGGCGAGUCCGUAUGCCAGCCAUGCAGUCCGUUAGGAUUUGUUUGGCUAGCCGAUCAAGAUUAUAAGCGGAAUCUGUUCGGAGUUUUGCGAUCCAAUCUUAACUGAAUUU